rnacentral:rRNA from 1 species
GACGAACGCUGGCGACGUGCUUAACACAUGCAAGUCGAACGGUGAAGCGAGUGCUUGCACUCGUGGAUCAGUGGCGAACGGGUGAGUAACACGUGAGUAACCUGCCCAUCACUCUGGGAUAAGCACUGGAAACGGUGUCUAAUACUGGAUACGACCAACCCUUGCAUGGGGUGUUGGUGGAAAGAUUUAUCGGUGAUGGAUGGACUCGCGGCCUAUCAGCUUGUUGGCGGGGUAAUGGCCCACCAAGGCGACGACGGGUAGCCGGCCUGAGAGGGUGACCGGCCACACUGGGACUGAGACACGUCCCAGACUCCUACGGGAGGCAGCAGUGGGGAAUAUUGCACAAUGGGCGAAAGCCUGAUGCAGCGACGCCGCGUGAGGGAUGACGGCCUUCGGGUUGUAAACCUCUUUCAGCAGGGAAGAAGCGAAAGUGACGGUACCUGCAGAAGAAGCACCGGCUAACUACGUG